rnacentral:rRNA from 1 species
AGAGUUUGAUCCUGGCUCAGAUUGAACGCUGGCGGCAUGCCUUACACAUGCAAGUCGAACGGCAGCACGGGGGGUAACCCCUGGUGGCGAGUGGCGAACGGGUGAGUAAUAUAUCGGAACGUGUCCUGUAGCGGGGGAUAACCUAUCGAAAGAUGGACUAAUACCGCAUACGACCUAUGGGUGAAAGCGGAGGACCGCAAGGCUUCGCACUAUAGGAGCGGCCGAUAUCGGAUUAGCUAGUUGGUGGGGUAACGGCCUACCAAGGCGACGAUCCGUAGCUGGUCUGAGAGGACGAUCAGCCACACUGGAACUGAGACACGGUCCAGACUCCUACGGGAGGCAGCAGUGGGGAAUUUUGGACAAUGGGCGCAAGCCUGAUCCAGCCAUGCCGCGUGAGUGAAGAAGGCCUUCGGGUU